ensembl:ncRNA F31B12.8 ncRNA
CAAACUUACGAUGAAUAUACGCUGGAAUCGUACGUUUUGUCAAACGCCUUGUUUUCAGCACGCCUUUCAGAGUGUCCCAGUUCAUUGCAUUUU